AGGAUUCCUCCUGAGUCAGGCAGAGGAGAGAAAGCAGGGGAAGGAUCUUUUUGCAGAAAUGGGUCUGGAUUCUUCUGAGGCAGAGAAGACUCCGUUGGACACCAGAGUGAGGCCUCUGGGUGACAAAAUGAUGCCACCAAGACCUGCUCCUUCAUCUUUUCAUGGUGGUGGAGGAGAGACAGUGGCUACGAACCCAGAUCAGGUAGGGGGAAGGAGCCUUG